rnacentral:misc_RNA from 1 species
CUUGGUUGGUAUUUGUAGUGCUCAAUAAUGCCCUUAUGAGGGCAUAUGGAAAGACAGAAUGUUUUUGUGAAUAUUUUAUUGAUGAUAGAGAAAAUUCAAGCCAAGAGGAAGAAUUGUUAUAUUUGUGGCUUCGAAAUUUAGAUAUGUUUUUCAUGGACCCGAAUUGUAACCCGACCUGAAAGUUUUCGCUCUGUGACCCGAUUGAGAUAAAAAGU